rnacentral:rRNA from 1 species
UACGUAGGCAGCAAGCGUUGUUCGGAGUUACUGGGCGUAAAGGGUGUGUAGGCGGUUCUUUAAGUUUGGUGUGAAAUCUCCCGGCUCAACCGGGAGGGUGCGCCGAAUACUGAGGGACUAGAGUGUGUGAGAGGAAAGUGGAAUUCCUGGUGUAGCGGUGAAAUGCGUAGAUAUCAGGAGGAACACCGGUGGUGUAGACGGCUUCUGGACCAUAACUGACGCUGAGACACGAAAGCGUGGGUAGCAAACAGG